GACAGAGGUGGCGAGCGUUGUUCGGAUUUACUGGGCGUAAAGCGCGGGUAGGCGGUUCGGCAAGUCAGAUGUGAAAUCCCACCGCUUAACGGUGGAACGGCGUCUGAUACUGCCGAACUUGAGUGCAGGAGAGGAGGGUGGAAUUUCCGGUGUAGCGGUGAAAUGCGUAGAGAUCGGAAGGAACACCAGUGGCGAAGGCGGCCCUCUGGACUGCAACUGACGCUGAGACGCGAAAGCGUGGGGAGCAAAC
rnacentral:rRNA from 1 species